GAUAUCUCCCACCUAGAAAACAAACUGACCCCCCUCAUAGAGAAACUAAUCUAUUCCUUCUUGAUGCCAACACUAACCCAUCAAAAUGAAACCAACCUCCACUAUCCCGACACCAUCCUUCACUGAAAAGAGCCCCUUAGACAUGACAAUUAAAGAAAUGAUUACUCUGCUCAAAAGGAAAUGAAGGUUGGUGAAGGCAUCCCCCAAGGAAACUCCCAUCGAUUCGUCUCAAACCGUCUCUUUCAAACCCACUCAGAUCACUGAACCCGAACCCGAACCCGAACCCAUCUAAAAGAAGAGAAAAGAAUGUGAAGAGCCAUUCUCAGAUCCACCCACCAAAAGACUCCAUAUUGAAAAGACCUCUGAACCCCAUCUACAACAAACAAUAACUCCCCAACCAAACGGAUCUCCUUCUACCUCCGCCCAAACACGAGAAGUCCUUACCUCGAUGCCGUUAUGACUGGAGGAUCCAGAAGAUUAUUUGUUUGAGCUCUUUGAGAACUUCAUUCUUUGAAAAGAUGGUGACAGAUUCAAAGACUUCACCCCCACAAUAACUUAUGGCUGCCAGCAUAAUGCACUAGGGUCGGGUAACUAUAACCUCAUAUACUAUAUAUGGAUUCUUCCUACUUCAUUUAAUUCUAAAUAAUAUAUUUCAUCUCCCAGUCCAAUGCUGCUUAUGCCCAAACUUUACGUCGACUGUCUAAAAUAAUAGCUAAAGAGAAAGAAUUAGAAGCUGAAAUCGUCCGCCUUCAUAUUAGAGUUCAAGUCGUGACGUCUGGCCUCGAAAAGGAAUGGUGUCUACAUGUCACUGCCAGGAGCUGACACGUGAAUUGAAGACAAUAAAGUGGCAGUUCUCCGAGAUAGCCGAACAAAGAAAAAAAUUAUAGUAGAUCGAGUCAAUGUGAAAGAAAUGAACGAAAGGAUGAAGAAGAUCGUGACAAAGAUAAUAGAUUUGAUCAAGGCCAACGACACGUUGGAUAAGAAAUAUUCAUAGCUAAAAGCCAAAGGUCUUCCAAUGACUGAAGCUGCUAAACAACAAUUCAUCGCUUAUUACAAGGUCUCUCCCCAACUGAGAAAGGAUUUUAUGAACCAAUUUGGAGACGACUACUAGAGUACAAGAGCGAAGGACAUAGAAAAACUGUUAGCAGUCGGUCUUAACCCGUCAAUCAUCGAUUCUUUCGAUUAAGAGUCCGAGGCCGAAGAUGACCCCCUAACCGUCC
rnacentral:lncRNA from 1 species